rnacentral:rRNA from 1 species
UACGAAGGGGGGCUAGCGUUGCUCGGAAUCACUGGGCGUAAAGCGCACGUAGGCGGAUUGCUAAGUCAGGGGUGAAAUCCUGGAGCUCAACUCCAGAACUGCCUUUGAUACUGGCGAUCUCGAGUCCGGGAGAGGUGAGUGGAACUGCGAGUGUAGAGGUGAAAUUCGUAGAUAUUCGGAGGAACACCAGUGGCGAAGGCGGCUCACUGGUCCAUUACUGACGCUGAGGUGCGAAAGCGUGGGGAGCAAACAGG